AAUCAACGUUAUCUGCAAUAUGAUCCUUCAAAAGAACAUAUAAUAUGGAAAAAUGCUUGUCUAAUGGAGCAACUAGAUGCAUCUGUCUGACCUGUGAAUGUGUCUCCUCAGUUCCUGCUUGAACUGUAUUUACGAAUUCAUGAUCUCUUCUCAAAGCAAUGUGACAGAUUUGUUGAACCUCUUCAGGAACUGUGGCUGAAAACAAAAGUGUUUGUCGUUGCUUUGGAACAGCAGCGAUUAUUUUCUCAAUGUCUUUACGAAAUCCCAUGUCUAGCAAAUGAUCAGCUUCAUCAAGCACAAGGACUUUCACACCCAUCAGCCUUGUUGCAAAUCCAGCAGUAUUCUCAAUGUGGUCUCUGAGUCUCCCAGGUGUAGCAACAAGAAUCUGGCAAGGGUUUGCUUGCAUUUGUUUCUGUUCAAGGGCAAGCCUUGUGCCUCCCAUAACAACUUGAACACCAAUAGAAGAGUGAUACUUCAAUAAGGUCUUUGCUUCUGCAGCAGCUUGAUUUGCAAGUUCUCGAGUUGGGCAUAUAACAAGCACAAGAAUUGGGGGUCGUUUUUGAUCGCGACCAACAGGAGGAGAUUUUACAACAACCUCAAUUGCUGGAAGCAAAAAUGCCACAGUUUUUCCAGUGCCUGUCUUAGCCUUAGCAAGUACAUCCUUGCCUUUUAGUAUAUCUGGAAGAGUGGCCUCCUGAACUACAGUCAUUUUCUCAUAUCCUGCAUCCUUGAUUCCUUUUAAUGAUAAAGGAGAGAUCGAGCAUUGAUCAAAUCUAGACUCGCUCAGAUAAGAAUCAAAGUUUUCAGCUGAGGAGGGCCCAUUGUCCUCCUUUCCAAAUGAAAAUGAUGCAUUUUUCUUUAACAUCACAUUGUCAUGAACAUCUUCAUUUGUAUCAUCACUCCCCUCCUCAUCAACCAAAUCGUUGAGAUGCCCCAUUAACUCCUUACUCUCAUACUUUUUGUCAUCAAUAUAGUCCUCAUCUUCCAAAUUAUCAACAAAAUCACUUUUUUGUCUUAAUCCCUUCCCAUCUCUCCUAAACACUGAAUCCAUCUCUGUCACUACUCUCCUUCCAUUCAUUAAAUCUCUAUUCCCAACUUUCUUUCUCGGCGAGUUAAAUUUGUCUUCAUCACCAUCCACAAAUCCAAUAUUAGCUAUCCAUGAAUUCCUCGAAAAUGAAUCAGUAUGACCACGAGCUCUCCUACUGCUUGAUUCGCCAUUCUCAUCUGAUAUAACCUCUCUCCUUCUCUUCAUUGAAAAGCUCUCUCUAUCUCUUUCACUUCCUAUACUCCUACCUCUGUCCU
rnacentral:misc_RNA from 1 species